CAGCCCUGAGACCAGAUCAGACAGAAGACUACAAGGGAAGGUGCACAGGCCCGGUGGGAAGGCAGCUGUGUCCUGAGGUUUCAGGGAGACAGAACAGCCUAGCCUGCUCCUGCCGUAUGAGCUGGGGGAACUGAAAGUGGAUGUGAAUGGCAGAAGUCACUGGUCAGUAGUCACAGGCUCUCCGAAGCUCUGCCUUUUGACAUCGUAUCAGCAAGAAUGGAGGGUCCCACUCUCAGCUGGAGGAUCU